CCUACGGGCGGCUGCAGUGGGGAAUAUUGGACAAUGGGGGCAACCCUGAUCCAGCCAUGCCGCGUGUGUGAAGAAGGUCCUCGGGUUGUAAAGCACUUUCAGUGAGGAAGAACGCCUGGUGGUUAAUACCCAUCAGGAAAGACAUCACUCACAGAAGAAGCACCGGCUAACUCCGUGCCAGCAGCCGCGGUAAUACGGAGGGUGCGAGCGUUAAUCGGAAUUACUGGGCGUAAAGCGCGCGUAGGUGGCUUGAUAAGCCGGUUGUGAAAGCCCCGGGCUCAACCUGGGAACGGCAUCCGGAACUGUCAAGCUAGAGUGCAGGAGAGGAAGGUAGAAUUCCCGGUGUAGCGGUGAAAUGCGUAGAGAUCGGGAGGAAUACCAGUGGCGAAGGCGGCCUUCUGGACUGACACUGACACUGAGGUGCGAAAGCGUGGGUAGCGAACAGGAUUAGAUACCCUAGUAGUC
rnacentral:rRNA from 1 species